UAGUUAUCCGAUUUCACUGCAGUACCAGUAUGCUGUUGGGAAUUUCAGGCAUAUAAAAGUGAGCUCAACCAUCUGUAGUGCAGCAUGCCAGUUCAGUAGUUCAUUCUGUCAUCUGGGAUUCCCCAGCAUAGCAUUCAAGUUCUCCUUUCAGCUGAAUUAAUGGGACCCAUGAUGAAAGGACACAGCACACUGGGUUCUUUUGAAGACCCUGACCUGGAGUUACAUGCUGACUUCAGUUCUUUGCAGGAACGAGACCCGCUCUCGGGGGGGUCUCACGACUGGCUGUCAUUCGAUAUACUAAGGAGGCGUCCGAGAAGACUAGCACGCCUUCAGGGUUUUGGGAUUUCGUGGCUCUGGAGUUUCAGACGACCUCCUCCGCUAGUACUGCUAUGUCUCCUUGAAAACCCUGUUACGUAGACGGACUCUUCAGAGGGCAGCUCGGAGCCUGACAGCUGGGAUUCCGCCUGGAGAAGACAAAGCCCAAUGCACUUUAAUGGCUGCAAAGUGCUUUUAUUCUUCGACUACUGCAGACUAAAAGCUUGUUUUCCAUGAAGUGAAGAUUGUUUAUCAAUUAUGUAAAUAUAGGGCACCCAUGCAGAAGACCCAUUUGCAGGACUAUUGUAAAAUAAUCUAAUUUAUUCCUCCAAAUGAGAAUAGAACAAAUUGAUUAAAAAAAACAAUUUUUAUUACUGAAAACUCACAGAUGACCAGCUUGUUUGAGGUGUUGAAUGAGCUCAGUGCUGAUGCCAGUACUGACCCUGUCAAGAGAUUGUCAGCUCAGCUGGAAAUCAUGUAAAUUAAGUAUUGGUAAUGGAUAUCCAGAAAAUUUGGGCAGUAUAUUUGAUGCCUUCCCCCCUCUGCUCCUUCCCUUCUCUCUGCCCACCCCACCCCAAUCUCCUCCCCCACAUCUCCAAGGUGUUGAUCCCAGAAACUGUGGCUUGCUUUGGGGAUAUUUUCCUUGCAAGUUUCAUUACUAAUGGGGACAAAAUAUUUCAAUUUUGGGAGCUUUAAUAUGGAGAUAAGAUAGAUUUUGAAGCAGCACCCUGAUCCAGAUGUGUAGGGGCAAGGCAGUUCUACAGCUGCUACAAUGUUGUUCCCUCCUAAUAAAUUGCAAGUGUUCAUAAAUACUGUAACUUGCAUCAUCUCCAACAGUUUUAAACGUGUCAUGCUAUAAUGCACUGGACGACAUAAUCUGUCCUCUUAAAAAGUAGUAUCACAUUUGUUAGUAAACCAAAACUAAACAUUUAAUCCUGCCGGAGAGUCUCAGCCUGAAACGUCGGCUGUGCUUUUUUCCACAGAUGCUGCUUGGCCUGCUGAGUUCCUCCAUCAUUUUGUGUGUGAUUUAUUCAUAAGCUGAGCAAUAUGUGGCGAUGAAACGAUAAAAGACAGCAAAUCAAAUCUGACCACAAAUGUUUAAGUAUUCUGAUCAGAACCUGUUUCUUAUGUAAUCCUGUUUAAUCUUUAAUAUAUUUGAGUUGAAAGUCCUUUGUAGACUUUUGAGAAAUCAUACAUAAAUAAUGUAAUUCUAAUGCUGAUUGAGUAUGAUUUCAUAUGCAAACUAAACUGAAGUAUUUGGGCAGAUGUUUGAAUUUUGCACUUCACAGUGAAUGUAUAACCAUUAAUCACAUGGCAUUUUGAAGAUCAUUAUUUAACUCUAUUAUUUGAUGAACAAUGGGAAUAGUGCCUCUUGACUCCAAUUUGUACAUCUCAUAAACCUUCACACAACUUGUGAUAACUGGAAAUUUAUUAUCUUCUUGUCAGCUUCCAUUUUAACACUAUUUCCUUCAUUACUAUACAGAGGAAUGUGUAAAAUUCCAUUGGUAAGGAGGUACCGAAACCUAAAGUCCCACUCCACCAGAUUCAAGGACAUUUUCUCUUCAAUCAUUUGGUUCUUGAACCAACCUGUGCAGCUUUAAUCACUACCCCAACUGUAUGGCUGUUUAGAUCAUUUUGUACUACAAUAGCUUUGCUUUUCAUUGUAAUUGUGUUCUUUCUUGCGAAAGUUGUGCAUAAUUUAUGUUUUUAUUUCUUUUGAAUGUUGUAUAUUUGAUGCUAUGUGCCUGUGCUGCUGCUACAAGUAUUUUUUCCAUUGUACCUGUGCAUUCCUGUACUUGUACAUAUGACAAUUAGUUGAAUUUUAACUUUGAAUUAUUCCUUUCUCAUGCAGGAUAGAAGAGAAUGAGGAAACACAUUUCCCAGCAAGUAUGAUGAAUGAUACAGUGCUUUGUAAAAAUAUUCAUCCCCCAACCCUUUGUUCACAUAAAUGGGUAUUAGCCAGCGAUUUUGAUCACUUUAACGGAGAAUAUUUAUUUGUGAAUUAUAUGCUCUUUUAUCAUAGUAGAGUCCCCAAAUAAACAGAAAAAAAUUUUAAAGCAUGAAUAACUAAAGAUUUAAAAACUGAAAUGUCAGCAAUUCAAAAGUAUUCAUCCCCCUUUGCUCAGUACUUAGUUAAACCACUUCUCACAGCUAUUAGAGUCUUCUUGGAUACAGGUAGGUCUCUAUUUACUUUGACCACCAUGAUAGAGCAAUAUUUGCCCAUUCCUCCCUGCAAAACUGCUCAAACUGUACGUGUUAGUUGGAGAGUGGUGGUGGUGAUGCACCAUCAAUAACUCUCCGAGAUGUGAGGCGAGAUAUAGGCUUUUAUUGGCUGGAAGAAAGAACAAGCAGCAAUUGACCACCACACUGCAUCCUGGAGACUGAGGCCAGGGCUGUGUCUCCAAUCGCCUUUAUACCGGAGUCUGUGGGAGGAGCCACAGGAGCAGUCAGCGGGGGGUGGGCAUGUCCAGACAGGUAUAUGUAGUUCACCACAGGUGGACAGCAAUCUUGUAGUCUUGCCAGUGAUGUUCAAUCAGGUUGAGGUCAGGCUACUGACCGGAAGACUCAAAGGCAUCAAUUUUCUUCAUUUUAAGUCAUUCCAUGGUUGUUCUGUUAGUGUGCUUUGGAUUUUUGCCCAUCUGAAAGAUGAAUUUCUUCCCCAUUUUAAGCUUUCUGGCAAGUUUUUAUCCAGGAUCUCUCUGUAUUUAGCAGUCGUCAUCUUCCCAUCAAUCUUGACCAGAUUUCCAGUCCCUGCUGCUAAAAAGCAUCCCCAUAGCAUGAUACUACCACCACCAUACUUUACAGCAGGAAUGGUUUUACCUAGCUGAUGCAUAGUAUAAGAUUUACACCACAUGUACCGCUUAAUCUUAAGGCUAAAAUGUUCUACUUUAGUCUCAUCUAACCACAAGACCUUUUUCCACAUCUUUAUAGUAUUUUCUAAGUGAUGGCUUGCAAAGUCUUUAUGGGCAAGGGUAUAUAUUUGUUUUUUAGCCAGGGUUUCUUCCUUGCCAUUCUUCCAUAAAUACAUUUUUUAUUCAAGGCCUUAGAGAUUGUGGAGCCAUGAACUUCCUCUCUAAUUGCACCCAUUGACUAUUGCUGCUCAAUCAGAGUGACUGUUGACAUCACAGUAACCUCUCCUAUGUGUGCCAUAUUUCUCCGGUGAUGAAGUUCAAAGGGGCGGCUUGACUUAGGCAGUGUGGCUGUGGUUUCAUAUCUUUUCCACUUUUCCAUGAUGGACUGCACUGAGCAAGUUAUGUUCAGUGCCUUUGAUAUGGCCUUGUACUGUUCCCCAGAUUUGAACUUCUCCGUUAUCAUUUCCCUGACUAGACUUGAAUGCUGUUUUUUGUUUCAUUUUGGUUUGGUCUGUUGAACAUCUACCAUACUGUUGGACCUUACAGAGAGAGGGGUAUUUAUUCGGGUGAUCCUCUGACUUCCUAUGCUAUAUCAACAACAAAGUACACUGCAGAUGCUGUGGUCAAAUCAAGAUGUACAAAAAAGCUGGAUAAACUCAGCAGGUCGGGCAGCAUCCAUUGAAAGAAGCAACAGAUGUGUCCUGACAAAGAGUCUCAACCCAAAACGUUGGCUGCUUCUUUCAACAGAUGCUGCCCAACCUGCUGAGUUCAUCCAGCAUUUUUGUACGUCACUAUAUCAACAAAUUGGGUAGUUGCAAAGGUGACAUAUAGUAUCUCGCCGGAGGAAAGUUAGAGUAGUAAUUAUAAAGGGGAAGGAAACUUUUCCAGCCUCACAAUUUUGGUUUUUAAUUUUAAGUAAUUUGUUGAUAGGUUUUUGAAUUUUGGAAUUUUUCAUUUGAUUUGACAUAAUAUAAAAUGUAUUGUAGAUUAGCUCAAAAUAUCCUACUUCAAUAUGUUUUAAAUUUUGAAAAUGAGACAGUAAAAUGUGAAAAUAAUUGUGGAGGCCGAAUACUUUUUCAAGGCACUGUACAUUAUGCUUCCUACAGUCUUGUUUACUAUGCAGUAAUUUUAAAUGUACUAGCUUUCAGAGGAUUGAUACUUUUUAUUGUCAAUGUUGUAUGUGAAGAAGGUGGAUAAGGGAGCUGUCAGAUUUUGAUGAAAGGUUGUUGGGCUGAAAUGGUAGCUAUAGAGUUCUUACCUAUUAUUUCCAGCAUUUUCUGUUCUAUAUUCUCUAUAAAACCUAUAUUCUCUAGGUUUUGCUGAAAUGCAAUUGAUUUGCUGAUACAACACUAAAUUUCUCAUUUCUGUAAUGUAAUUUGGCUGAAGGUACAAGAAAUAGUUUGGUAAUUUAUGGUUUUUCUUAGGGUUUUCAAGGCUAUCAGAACCAUAUUGUAACACCCAUUUUAAUUACAUUAAACAUAGAAUAUAAAAACAGAAUUACAGUUUUUUUUCUUGCAAGACAGAUAUUGUGAUGGUACCUCCUGUCCUUCAGUUUCCAGCCUCACACUUCCCGUCAUGGGGCACAGGGUAGGGAUUUGGUGGAUCGGUGCAACAUAAAAGCACCUUGUGAGUGGUAAAAACCAUGAUGGACAUUUGGUGAACAUCCAGUAAUAGGGCAUUACUGUACUUUCCUGAGGUUAAAUCAUCUGAAUAAAGCCAUAGCUUCAUAUAGUGAUGCCCUGGACUGGUGAAACUCCGAUUUCUAGUUGCUGCUUCCAGUAAUCCAUGGUGAAUGAUUGUCUAGCAAACAAGAGACUUAUCAUUUUGUAAUGUAUGUUUGAACAGCAAACAAGCUGGCUCUGCUGCUAUCUCUUGUAACAGCUUGGAAGGUGCCAUUUGUAAAGUACGAGACUGUAAUACCUUCGACUGCUCUAAACAAUACUUUGCCAUCUGUCAGUUACAUUUCUUGUUGCAGGAAUGACAUAACCAGUCUGGCAAAGCAAAGUUUCUCUCACACAAUGCUCUCUGAAAUGGCAGCUAUUGUAUGUUGCUCAUGAGGAUGUAAUUAAAAUCACUUUAAAUAUUGUUCAGAAUGGACAUUAUUUGACUGUGGUAUUAGAAAACAAUUACAUUUUAAACUUAAGUUAGGAUCUAAGGUGCUUUUGGCAGGAUCAAGGUCCAUUAGAAAAUGGAUAUAGGUAGAUAUCUGGCAGUAAGUGAACAUGACUGGUAUGUUAUUUUAUUUCUCAAUCUCCUUGUAAUAAAGCUCAGAGGUAAAUAGGAAACAAAGGUAGCUCUACUAAACUUUACUGAUCAGUUAAAAAGUCUUUGCUUAAAUCAGUAGCUCUGUUUUUCUUUCUACAGAUGCUGGCAGACCUGCUGAGUGUUUACAACAUUCUCAAUUUUUGUUUGUAGUUCCGUUGUUAUUUCUUCUUCCAAUCUGCUAUUCAUAUCACAAACAAAUUCGCAUAUGAUGCCUGACAAGCUGUUGAUCAUUGGAGAGACAGAACUACUGAAAAUUCUCCUGUGCUCAUUAACCAUUGGCUCAGAGUUGGAUAUGAUUACUCCAAAACUGCUUCGUUCUCUGCACUGUCUCAUCACUCAAACCAGACACAGCCUGGUCUGAAAUCCCAGACCUGAUGUGGCAGAGUUGUUAUUCCUGAGCUGAAGCCCAGAACCUGGAGGACCGGUGGACCACUCUUAGUAUGUUCUCUACCCUCUGACCUGUUUGGCAUGGGUGACCCUAACAAGAGCCAAGGCAUAAAACUGUGAUUUCAGCCAACAUAACUCUCUGGGUCAUUGAAGCACGCAAGCCUCCAAAUGUAAUGAGGUUUUGAUCCACUUGGAUGCCCUGGACACUGCUAGAGAUGGAGGACCUUCAUUGGUGCCCUAAAUGCCAGCGGUGUACAAUUGAUAUGUACUACAGCUUUCUAUCAUGGUGAAGAAGCUAUAUAAACGGAAGGUGCUACCGCAUUCCAGUGACAGCGUUCAUGUGACAACACUUCAUUUAUCCUAUUUGGCCAGCGGACAAAAGUUCACAGAAUACAGUUGUCACAUGUGAAGGUUCACACUUUUCAAACAAGGUUCAACUCAAUAUGGCAAACCAGAGCACAGAAGGAGAAAGGAACAGGGGUCUAGGAACUGGAGGAGUCCACAACAGAGAUGGAUGAUCAUUUGGAGAUCAGGUGGCUGGGGUCUUGUUGGAGCCUGUGAUCUACUGCAGUUCUUUAUGGCAGCCUGUCGCUGAUUGACUGGGUUUCCAUAUUUCCAGGAGCGGAUCUCUUACCAGUGUCAGGAACUGAAGUGUCGCUGGAGAGCAGAACGUCAAAACGGAUUGUGGGGCUGUCAGAGGCAUCUGUACUUGGGCAAUCACUCUCCCUAUCUCUCUUGAAUGUGUGAGAGUCUGUUGAUGAUGCUCGUCAGGGGUAACUCAAAAUAAAAGCAUUGCUUCAGACUGUAACAUCGAAAGAGUGAACUAUUCGUCUCCCCUCUUGCUGUAGAAGGACUGAUACCUCUGUCUCCCUUACUAAUGAGAGAGAGGGACUGUGGCAUGUUGAACUGUUGGGUGAACAAUGUUCUUGUUGGCCUCUGCUUGGAGGCUUUCUAUUGCUUGCUUGGUGAGUGGCGGGUGCUGACGCUUCCUGCUGGAAUAAGUAGGGGGAAGGGAUGAUGCUUUUUCUGCUAGUGCGUGGGAGGGGAAGGGAUCCGUGGGGUUCUGUCAUUCAUUCUUUGGCAUUUUUCUUCUGUUUUGUCAUUGUCUGGAGAGUGAGAAUUUCAGGUUAUAUAUUGUAUAUAUUCUCUCUGAUGUUGAAUGGAACCAUUGAACCAUUGGUGAGGAAUGCAAGUGCAAUGUUAGAAUUCAUUUCAAAAGGGCUACAUUAUAAAGACAAGGAUGUAAUGUUGAAGCUUUAUAAGCACUGGUGAGGCUUCAGUUGGAGCAUUGUGAGCAGUUUUGGGCCCAUUAUCUAGGAAUGGAUAUGCUGUCUUUGGAGACAGAGAAGGUUCAUGAGAGUGAUUCCAGGAAUGAAAUGGUUAAUGUAUAAAGAGUAUUUGACAGCUCUGGUUCUGUACUUGCUGGAAUUUAGACUGAGUGGGUUGGGGAGAAUCUCAUUGAAACUUACUGAAUUUUGAAAUGCCCAGAUAAAGUGAAGGAUGUGGAGAAGAUGUUUCCUAUAGAGGGAGAAUGCCUCAGAAUAGGGGGUAUGUCUAUUUAUAACAGAGAUGAGGAAGAAUUUCUCUAGCCAGAGGUUGGUGAAUCUGUGGAAUGCAUUGCCAUGAGUGGCUAUGAAUACUACAUUAUUGGGUGUAUCUAAGGCGGAGGUUGAUAGAUUCUUGAUUAGUCAGGGCAUCAAAGACAAUAGGGAAAAGAUAGGAGAAUGGGGGUAAGAGGGCAAAUAGAUUUGAUGGGCUGAAAGGCCUAAUUCUGCUCCUAUGCCUGUGGUCUUAUGCCACUGACCUAGCCCUCAGCAGACUGCGGAUCUCUGGGUUCAUCCACGGCUUUUGGUUUGGGUACGUCCAGUAUAUUCCUAAAGAGAGACACAAACACGCACAUCCCCUCAGGUCCAGGUGAAGUCAGUGACCACUGUGGCAUAUUCAUUAAGAUUUGAAGAUGAAUCCCAGAAUAUUGUCCAGUCCACUGAUUCAAAGCAGUCCUGAAAGCCCAUCUCCACCUCCCCUUGACAAAACUCUUGUGGUCCUCACCACAGGUGCUGCAGUUCUCAAUCUCCAGCUGUAUGCUGGAAGUAGUACAGCCAAGUGACUGGUCUUUCCAAAGUGUAUGGGUGGGAUGACAUGCUAAGCAUUCUUGAUGGUGGUAUAGUAGUAGUCAAGUGUGUUGGUAGCUCUGGUUUGACAGGUGAGAUGUUGAUGGUUGUUGGUUCAUAAGAUGAAAUGACUAUAAGAUAUAGGAGCAGAAUUAGGCCAUUUGGCCCAUUGAGUUUGCUCUGCUAUUUCAUCAUAUUUUCAUCUAAUUUUCCUCUCAAUUUUCCUCCCAGUUUCCUGCUUUCUCCCUGUAUCCCUAACCAAUCAAGAACCUAUCAACCUCUCCCCUAAAUAUACAUAAAGACUUGGCCUCCACAGUUUUCUGUGGAAAAGAAUUCCACAGAUUCACCACUCUCUGGCAAAAGAAAUUCCUCCUCAUCUCCAUUCUAUAAGGAAGCCCCUUUAUCCUGAGGCUCUGUCUUCCGGUCUUAGACUCUCCCACCAUAGGAAGCAUCCUCUCCACAUCCACUCUUUCAAGUCCUUUCACCAUUCGAUAGGUUUCAAUGAAGUCACACCUCACUCAUUGGAAUUCUAGUGAAUACAGGCCCAGACUCAUCAAAUGCUCUUCAUAUAACAAGCAAUUCAAUCCUGGAAUCAUUUUCGUGAAGCUCCUUUGAACUUACUCUAGUUUCAGCACUUCCUUUCUAAGAUAAGGUGCCCAAACCUGCUCACAGUAGUCCAAGUGAGGCCUCACCAGAGCUUUAUAAAGUCUCAUUAUUACAUCCUUGCUUUUCUAGUCUAGUUCUCUUUGCAUUUGCCUUCCUUCACAUAGACUCAACCUGCAAAUUAAUCUUUAGGAAAUCCUGCACAAGGACUCAAGUCCUUUUGCACCUCAGCUUUUGCUGUUUUCUAGCUAUUUAGAAAGUAGUCAACAUUUUCACUUCUUCUACCAAAGUGUAAGCUUCCUGCCAUUUCUUUGCUCAUUCUACUAAUCUGUCUAAUUCCGUCUGCAGCCUCUCUACUUCAUCAAAACUACCUGCCCCUCCACCCACCUUCAUAUCGUCUGCAAACUUUGCAAUAAAGCCAUCAAUUCCAUCAUCCAAAUUAUUGCUAUAAAAAGUAUCAGUCCCAACACAAACAGCCGUGGAACACCACUAGUCACUAGCAACCAGCCUUUAUUCCCAUUAUUUGCCUCCUACCAAUCAACCACUGCUUAAUCUAUGUUAGAGUCUUUCCUGUAAUACCAUAGACUCAUAACUUAUUAAGUAGCCUCAUGCGUGGCACCUUGUCAAAAGCUUUCUGAAAAUCCAAGUAAAUGAUAUUAACCGACUCUCCUUUGUCUAUCCUGCUUGUUGGUUCUUCAAAGAAUGGAAACAGACUUGUCAGACAAAAUUUUCCCUUGAGGAAACUAUGCUAACUACAGCCUAUUUUAAUCAUGUGCCUCCAAGUACCCUGAGACCUCAUCAUUAAUAAUCGACUCUAAUAUCUUCCCAACCACUCAGGUCAGACUAACUGGCCUAUAUUUUCCUUUCUUCUGCCUCUCUCCCUUCUUGAAGAAUGGAGUAAAAUUUGCAAUUUUCCAGUCUUCCAGAACCAUUCCAGUAUCUUGCGAUUCUUGAAAGAUAAUUACUCAUGCCUCCAUGAUUUCUUUAGUCACUUCUUUUGAACUCUGGGAUGUACACCAUCUGGUCCAGGUGACUUAUCUAUGUUCAAACCUUUGAGUUUUCCAAGAAGCUUCUCUCUAGUUACAGUAGCUUCACACACCUCAUGGCCCCUGAAACUUGGAACUUCCACCAUAUUGCUAGUAUAUUCUACAGUGAAGACUGAUCCAAAGUACUUCAGUUCAUCUGUCAUUUUGUUGUCCCCAUUACUACCUCUCCAACAUCAUUUUCCAGCAGUCAAUAUCCGCUCUUGGCUCUCUUUUACACUUUGUGUCUGAAGAAACUUCUGGUAUCUUUUUAAAUUUUAUUGGCUAGCUUUAUUCCAUCUUUACCUUAAUGACUUUUUUAGUUGCCUUCUGUUGGUUUUUGAGAGCUUCCCAAUCCUGUAACUUCCCAUUAAUUUUUGCUCUAUUAUAUGCUCCCACUUGUCUUUUCUGUUUGCUUUGACUUCUCUUGUUAGCCACAGUUGUGUCAUCUUGCUUUUAGAAUACUUCUUCCUCUUUGGGAUGUAUAUAUCCUGUGCCUUCUGAAUUGCUUCCAGAAAUUCCAGCCAUUGCUGCUCUGCUGUCAUCCCUGCCAGUGUUCUUUUCCAAUCAAUUCUGGCCAGCUCUUCUCUCGUGCCUCUAUAAUUCCAUUUAUUGUACUGUAAUGCUGAUACAUCUGACCUUAGUUUUCCUUCUCAAAUUUCAGGCUGAAUUUGAUCAUAUUAUGAUCAUUUUCCCCUAAGGGUUCUUUUACUUUAAGCUCUCUAAUCAAUUCUUGUUCAUUGCACAACACCCAAUCCAGAAUAACUGAUCCUCUAAUGGACUCAACUACGAGGUGCUCAAAAAUGCCAUCUCAUAGGCACUCUAGAAAUGUUCCCCUCCUGUAAUCCAGUAUCAACCCGAUUUUUCCCAAUCUACCUGCAUGUUGAAGUCCCCCAUGACCAUUGUAACAUUGCCCUUUUGGCAUGCAUUUCUAUCUCCCAUUGUAAUUUGUAGACCACAUCCUUACUACUGUUUGGAGGUCUUUUUACCCUUGAAGUCCAUUAGCUCUAUCCACAAUGAUUCAACACCUUUUGACCCCAUGUCACUUUUUUCUAACGAUUAGGUUUCUUCUUUUUUUACCAACAGAGCAACACCACCCCCUCUGCCUUUCUGCCUGUCCUUUUGAUAGAGUAUGUAUCCUCGGUCGUUAAGCUCCCAGCUGUAAUCUUCUUUCAGCCUUGAUUCAGUGAUGCCUACAACACCAUACCUGCCAAUCUGCAACUGUGCUGAUAGUUCAUCUACCUUAUUCCACAUACUGUGUGCAUUCAAAUACUACACCUUCAGUCCUGUAUUCACCCUUUUGGAUUUUUGUCCACUUUUUACUUUGCACCAUGCUCAACCUUUUGAUUUUCAGCUUUGUCUGAAGUCUUACCAACAUCUGCCUCCACAGCUUCUCCAACAACUGUUCUGGCACUUUAGUUCCCAUCCCCUUCAACUCUAGUUUAAACCCCACCAUGCAGCAUUAGCAAACUUUCCUUCUGUGAUGUUAGUCCCCCUCCAGUUUGGGUGCAAAUCAUCCCUUUUGUACAGGUCCUACCAUUCCUGGAAAAGAGCCCAGUGAUGCAAAAAUCUUAUACCCUCCUCUCUUACACCAAUUCCUUAGCCACAUAUUAAACUGUAUAAUCAUCCUAGUUCUGGCCUCACUAGCACGUGGCAUGGGUAGCAAUGCUGAGAUCUCAAACCUGGAGGUCAUUUAACUUAGCACGUAACUCCCAGAACUCCCUAUGCAAAGCCUCAUCACUUACCCUACCCAUGUCAUUGGUACCUACAUGGACCACAACUUCUGGCUGUUCACCCUCCCACCUAAGAAUGGUGAGGACUUGAUCUGAGGUAUCUCGGACUCCGGUACUCAGGAGGCAACAUAUCAUCUGGAAAUCGUGUUCUUUCCUAUAGAACCUCCUAUCUGUUCUCUUGACUAACAAAUCCCCUAUCACCAAGGUGUGCCUCUUCUCCCCUCUUCCCUUCUGAGUCACAGAGGUAGGCUCAGUGCCAGAUGUCAGGACUCAGUGGUCAGAGACUUCCUCAAGCUGGCCUGGUUGAAAACCCCCACAAUGAUGGGGUGUGCUGUUUCCUUACUGCUGAUCUUGUGCUUGCUGGACAUUGGGCAAGGGUGGAAUAUACACUGCUACCAGGAUGACGUUGGAAAAAAAAAUAGAUGACUCUUGACCACUAGAUGUUCCAGGUUGGGUGAGCAGGACUGGGAAAGAACCACCACAUCUGUGCACCAAGAUGAGUUAAUCAUAAAAGACAUUCUGUCGCUUCUACCUUUAAGUGACUCAGCUGUUCUGUCUUUGUGGUGGAUGCUGAAGCCCUGGGCCUGCAGUGCUGUCUAAAAUGGUGCAGUUGAGCCAUGAUUCCUUGAAGCAAAGUACACAGCAGUCCCUGAUAUUCCUCUGGUACUGAAAUCUUGCUCUGAGGUCUUCAAUUUUAUUUUACAUUCACCAGCAGGGUAGUUGGAAGUUGGGGGGUUGGGUGGGUUGAAGGGCUUUGCAUUUCAAUUGCACCUGCAGACCACAGCAUGUUUUUCACUUUUCUUUUUACUUAAAGGUGACUCGUGACCUGAGUGAAUUUUGAAGAUUGAUAGAUUUUUUUGAAAAGUCUUAAAACAAUGUUGCUUACUGAACUUCCUAUUUCUGUGGCUGUGGAUUUCAGCUGUAGUAGUCCUAAAUGGGAAUAUUUGAUGAUUCCCUCUGGAGAUGCACAUUUUCCGGUGCCAUUAUUCAAGAUUUUCUCCAAUGAAUCAUUUGACGAGAUUACUGACUUGCACUUGGUAUUCUGUUCACUUAUUUGAAAGAAUGAGGAUGAUGUAAACUCCUUUAGAAAAAAAGAAAUCAAUUGUAAACAAAAUACAGAUUUUCUUGCAUAGAAAACACUUGAAUUGUUAAUGGGAUUAGCAGUGAAUAGAGACUGCUAAUGAUCUGCAUGUCAUAUUUCAAAGAAACUGCCCUUGCCUUGAAGGAAUUAGAAAUAUAAAAACAUAAGAAAAGAAUCUUUGCUGCUAAUCCUCUGAUCCAGAUGUAAAGGAAGGAUGUCAGUGGUUGUAGUAUUGAAAAGCAUUGCCUCACUCUGACAUUCUUGAGAUUUAAUUCAAUAAAAUCUCUUUCACUGGCAAGUGAUGAAGCUGAAGAAUUAGUGCUGUUAUUCUCAUGUAAUUUCAAAUGAUUGUCCAAUCUUGUAUUGAGCAAUCAGGCAGGUCAGCAAUGGGUUAAUGUUAUGAUGCUUAAUGAAAUUUGGACUGUCCUUGUGAACAUUGGUCAGUCGUGUGGCUUUUUCUGGAAAGAGACCCACAGCUGAUUUCUUUGGUAGCCACAAUGAUUAAUGUAACACCUGGCACACACUGAUCCGGAGCUUGAAGGGCAAAUUCUGUGUUAGCAGGCAGGAUCGAUCUUGCUGCUGCUCUUGGAAUUUUGACUGCGGCCUCUAAAAUGGGGAAAAAUGCAGGAAAGACAAACAGUAGAACUUAACACAAAGUGCACUGCAGAUGCUGUGGUCAAAUCAAGAUGUACAAAUGUUACGUCUGUGCCCCCCCUCCUUUUUGAGAAUCGCAAGAUCGCUAUUAAGUCGGGGCAGGAGACCCAGGAAAUGAGAGAGAGACGUUUGGAAUGUCCUGGCCCUCAGCGAUACAAAGCCACGGAACAGGUCAUUGUCUCUUGGAGACGGAAUUGUGCAUUGAGUACUGUACUUCAUGGAAGCCCUCAGGCAACAUGGGCUGGUUGGGGGAUGGCAUCAUUCCACCCUGAGUGACAUCUGAGACCCCGUGAGUGGGGAUAAAAGAGGGUCUGGGGAACAGCCCCUUUAGACGCACCAGGAGAAACGCUAGAAAUCCUGUAACAGCGUAAUAGCGAAAGCCGGUGGAAAAGCCCACGCGCGUCGUUUUCCAUUUGCCUCAGAAUUGGUGGGUCUUGCCAUGGAAGAACAGCUUUAGCUAACACAAAGGAGAAAUCAGCCCCAACGACUCUCGAAGGAUUGACAUCAUAAAAGGAAUGGACAAGUUUUAAAACUCUCUCUCUUGACUCCAACCAAAGGCUGCAGCCUGCAGCUUGAAUGAACUAAAGUGACUUUUAUAUUUCCAUCGGACAAUACAUAAACCCCUAGACAACGAUAGAGCUAUUUCUUAUUGAGUAUUAUUAUACCUGCGCUUUUAGAUUUAGUAUUGACAAUGUAUAUUAUCUGUAUAUUUGCAUUGAUAUUAUUUUUGUGUAUUUUUAUCAAUAAAUACUGUUAAAAAUAGUACCAUCAGACUUCAACAGACCUCUCUAUCUUUGCUGGUAAGUGACCCAGUUACGGGGUACGUAACACAAAA